ensembl:lncRNA
UGUGGAUGCAUCUCAAGAAGAUGGGUCAUUAGGCAGACUUGUCAACGACAACCACAUCAGUCCAAGUGCUAAAAUGAAAAUAUUAAAUAUCAAUGGAAAGCCCCAUCUAUGCUUAUUUGCAAGCAGAGACAUAAGUCCAGGCGAAGAAAUAGACUAUAAUUAUGGUGACUCGGAUUGGCCCUGGAGAUGCAAGGCUGAGACCAGCCAGAUUGAGAAGACUGUGAGCUGCCUAAAGCCGCAACCAAACUGCAUUUCAAACAAUGAUCUGGACCUGAAACAUCCGGAGCCUGAAAGGUGUCACAGUCAUCGUCUGGUGUGCACAACAAUAUCAUCUUUGGACAAGUGCAUUCAGUGUGUGGGACCGGUUUCCUCCCUCAAGUGGCUUGGCUAUAAGUGCAAAGUUUGUUUAGGGGUCUGGCACAAAUCCUGCCUUGCAAAAUUGGCAAAUCAGAAUUGUCA